CCGCCCAGAGGUAAACGGGUGGAUCCGCAUAGUCGGUCCGCGGAAUUCAGCGCGGCGCGCGAUCCGGGGCUGCUGCUGUUCGGGAUCUUUCCGGAACCAACAGCGGUGCCGAGCCGGGUCCCGCCGCGUGCACUUUCCGCGGACGGAAAGCCACAACCGGUUUGGUGGGCGGUCACGAGCCGGAAGGGUUGUCGGUGGGGGCGCUCGCGUCCCCACCAGCCCUCCCCGGUAAGCCGCCCGCAGACCGAGGAACCGCCGCGCGCUUAUAGGCCACCCUCCCUUCCGGGUGAGUUCGACAGGGAGAGACUGGGCAACCGUGUCUCCCGACCGCUCACUCGUGACCGGCGUGGGGCUGGCCGGGCGAGCAGGAAAAUCUUGGGUUGGUGGCAAGUCUGUCGGCACUCCACCCGACCCGUCUUGAAACACGGACCAAGGAGUCUAACAUGCGCGCGAGUCAUUGGGAUUUACGAAACCCAAAGGCGCAGUGAAAGCGAGGGCCUGUAAAAGGGCCCAGGUGGGAUCCUGUCACUCCCUCGGCGCCAAG
rnacentral:rRNA from 1 species